GACGAACGCUGGCGGCGUGCCUAAUACAUGCAAGUCGAGCGAGCGGCGGACGGGUGAGUAAUGUAUGGGGACUGCCCGAUAGAGGGGGAUAACUACUGGAAACGGUGGCUAAUACCGCAUACUAUCGGAUAACCCAUAUGGGAUUAGCUAGUAGUGGGGGUAAAGGCUCACCUAGGCGACGAUCUCUAGCUGUUCUGAGAGGGUGAUCAGCCACACUGGUACUGGGCUACGGCCCAGACUCCUACGGAGGCAGCAUUGGGGAUUAUUGCACAAUGGGCGCAAGCCUGAUGCAGCCAUGCCGCGUGUAUGAAGAAGGCCUUAGGGUUGUAAAGUACUUUCAGCGGGGAGGCGUUACCCGCAGAAGAAGCACCGGCUAACUCCGUGCCAGCAGCCGCGGUAAUAC
rnacentral:rRNA from 1 species